rnacentral:rRNA from 1 species
UACGUAGGUGGCAAGCGUUGUCCGGAAUUAUUGGGCGUAAAGCGCGCGCAGGUGGUUUCUUAAGUCUGAUGUGAAAGCCCACGGCUCAACCGUGGAGGGUCAUUGGAAACUGGGGAACUUGAGUGCAGAAGAGGAAAGUGGAAUUCCAAGUGUAGCGGUGAAAUGCGUAGAGAUUUGGAGGAACACCAGUGGCGAAGGCGGGUAGCUGGGCCGACACUGACGCUGAGGCGCGAAAGCCAGGGGAGCGAACGGG